GGAGCUGUAGUUCCGGCCGGCGGCCAUUUCGGCGGCAGCGUGCGGGCCACUGCCCGCGGUGACUUUGCGGCAUGGAGAGCGGCUUCGGCUCCGACUUCGGCUCCGACUUCGGCUCCGGGGGCGGCGGGGGAGGGAAGCUGGACCCGGGGCUCAUCAUGGAGCAGGUGAAGGUGCAGAUCGCCGUGGCCAACGCGCAGGAGCUCUUACAGCGCAUGACGGACAAAUGCUUUCGGAAGUGCAUCGGGAAGCCGGGCGGCUCGCUGGACAACUCGGAGCAGAAGUGCAUCGCCAUGUGUAUGGACCGCUACAUGGACGCCUGGAACACGGUUUCCCGAGCCUACAACUCGCGGCUGCAGCGGGAGAGAGCCAACAUGUGAAGCUCCUGGACGAGGGAGGGACCAUGCGGGGAAGGGACAAGCGGCCAGUCCAGCACCAAAACCCAGGAGCGAGUGAAUUUUCCAGCCUCGAGAGCCAUCGUGAGCUGCUUGUUUUGCCUCGUGCCUUUCCCAACGGUCCCGACUGGCCAAGGCAUAUAGCGGCUGAUAAAUCCCAGCUGUGCGAGGCAAGGAGCCUUCUGUGGAAAAGGGGGGGCCAAGCCACCAACAGAGUCCCCUUGCCCAGGAAGCAAGCCUGGACCCAGCCAUCAGGUAGUUACCUAGUCCCUUUUCAUCAGUAGAAAAACUGCAAUGAGAUGCUCUCCAUGCCGCAGUUGGCCCUUUCCUCCCUUGUGUUUAUAUAGCUGUUUGUGGGGCUGAAAUGAAGAUUUAGUGCAAGCAGUGCACUGGGAGUCAAGGGCGUACUUACUGAGCUGGCAGCACAGCCUUGCAAAUAGUUGUACAAGCACACCUUCGGAGUGAUAGACCGUGUAUGAAAUGGGUUAGGAACUACAUAGGUUGAUUUCUUCAAAGGAAAAAAAAUGUGUGCCUGUGAUUUUCUGUAACUUCUGGUUUGGCGCUGACACAAGCAUUCUGUCUUGGAGCCAGCCUACCUUUCAGGUUUCGUUUCUUUGGGAAGGAGCACUUCUGUAACAGUAUUUGGGUCUCCUUUGCAGGUACACAGUAUUGUGCUUAGCUUGCACACCACUCCUGGAAUGGUCGAUAUGUGUUGUGUGGUCUGCAGUAUGCCCAGCGGCUGGAAGAGUAGUGUGUUGGAUAUUAAAAAUGCCUGUACCCCUGUAA